UACAGAGGUCCCAAGCGUUGUUCGGAUUCAUUGGGCGUAAAGGGUGCGUAGGCGGCGUCGUAAGUCGGGUGUGAAAUCUCGGGGCUUAACUCCGAAAUUGCAUUCGAUACUGCGGUGCUUGAGGACUGGAGAGGAGACUGGAAUUCACGGUGUAGCAGUGAAAUGCGUAGAUAUCGUGAGGAAGACCGGUGGCGAAGGCGGGUCUCUGGACAGUUCCUGACGCUGAGGCACGAAGGCCAGGGGAGCAAACGGG
rnacentral:rRNA from 1 species